GUCGGAUCUGCCCGGUGGCUUAGUUACGAAAUGGCAAGCUAAACGGUUAUGUAAAGUACUGAGAUAGCAUGGUGGGUAGCCCUUUGAUUGGGGGAUUGUACGAAUGGUUUGACGGCGAUCAACUGUCUUUAAUAUAGCUCAAAAAAUUUCUUUUUAGGUGAAAAAGCCUAAAUUUUUGCAAUAGACGAGAAGACCCUGUUGAACUUGAUUAGAGGGGGUGUUAGCGUCGGUGAUGUGUGCACAACUUUGAAGUUUUGAUGGGGCACUAGAGGUUAAAAUGAAAUGACCUCCUUUUAUAUAAAGACCCCUUAUGAAGGUCAUGAGCAAAAGUUACCACAGGGAUAACAGCGUAAUUCUCUAAAGGAGAUCUUAUCUUAUAGAGAGUUUGCGACCUCGAUGUUGAAUUAAGGUAGCUUCUAUUGGCGCAACCGCUAGGAAGAGUAAGACUGUUCGUCUUUUAAAGCCUU
rnacentral:rRNA from 1 species